UACGUAGGGGGCAAGCGUUGUCCGGAUUUAUUGGGCGUAAAGAGCGUGUAGGCGGUUUGGUAGGUCCGCUGUGAAAACUCGAGGCUCAACCUCGAGACGCCGGUGGAAACCAUCAGACUAGGGUCCGGAAGAGGAGAGUGGAAUUCCUGGUGUAGCGGUGAAAUGCGCAGAUAUCAGGAAGAACACCCGUGGCUAAGGCGGCUCUCUAGUACGGUACUGACGCUGAGACGCGAAAGCGUGGGGAGCGAACAGG
rnacentral:rRNA from 1 species